rnacentral:tRNA from 1 species
GGAGGGCUAGUCCUAACUGGUAAGGCAGCAGACUUGAAAUCUGCCGGCCGCAAGGCCAUGGGGGUUCGAAUCCCUCGCCCUCCG